rnacentral:rRNA from 1 species
GAUGAACGCUGGCGGCGUGCCUAAUACAUGCAAGUCGAGCGAACAGACGAGAGUGCUUGCACUCUCUGACGUUAGCGGCGGACGGGUGAGUAACACGUGGGUAACCUACCUAUAAGACUGGGAUAACUUCGGGAAACCGGAGCUAAUACCGGAUAAUAUUUAGCUUCGCAUGACGCAAUAGUGAAAGACGGUUCUGCUGUCACUUAUAGAUGGACCCGCGGUGUAUUAGCUAGUUGGUGAGGUAACGGCUCACCAAGGCAACGAUACAUAGCCGACCUGAGAGGGUGAUCUGCCACACUGGGACUGAGACACGGCCCAGACUCCUACGGGAGGCAGCAGUAGGGAAUCUUCCGCAAUGGACGAAAGUCUGACGGAGCAAUGCCGCGUGAGUGAAGAAGGUUUUCGGAUCGUAAAACUCUGUUGUAAGGGAAGAACAAGUACGUUAGUAACUGAACGUACCUUGACGGUACCUUACCAGAAAGCCACGGCUAACUACGUG